GACGAACGCUGGCGGCGUGCCUAAUACAUGCAAGUCGAACGCUGAAGGAGGAGCUUGCUCUUCUGGAUGAGUUGCGAACGGGUGAGUAACGCGUAGGUAACCUGCCUGGUAGCGGGGGAUAACUAUUGGAAACGAUAGCUAAUACCGCAUAAAAUUGAUUAUUGCAUGAUAGUCAAUUAAAAGGUGCAAUUGCAUCACUACCAGAUGGACCUGCGUUGUAUUAGCUAGUUGGUGAGGUAACGGCUAAACAAGGCAACGAUACAUAGCCGACCUGGGUGGGGGAUCGGCCACGCUGGGACUUAGACACGGCCCUGACUCCUCCAGAAGGCAGCGGUAGAGGAACGUCGGUGAUGGACGGCAGUCUGACCGAGCUACGCCGCGGCGGUGAAGAAGGGUUUCGGAUCGUUAGACUCAGUUGUAGGGGAAGACCGAGUGUGAGAGUGGAAAGUUCACACUGUGACGGUACCUGACCAGAAAGGGCCGGCUAGCUACGUG
rnacentral:rRNA from 1 species